rnacentral:rRNA from 1 species
UACGUAGGUGGCAAGCGUUGUCCGGAUUUACUGGGCGUAAAGAGCGCGCAGGCGGUCGGAUUAGUCGCGUGUGAAAGCCCCCGGCUCAACUGGGGAGGGUCACGCGAUACUGAUCGACUCGAAGGCAGGAGAGGGUAGUGGAAUUCCCGGUGUAGUGGUGAAAUGCGUAGAUAUCGGGAGGAACACCAGUGGCGAAGGCGACUACCUGGCCUGUUCUUGACGCUGAGGCGCGAAAGCUAGGGGAGCAAACGGG